rnacentral:rRNA from 1 species
AACAAACGCUGGCGGUGUGCCUAAUACAUGCAAGUCGAACGGGGAAAGCUUUCGGGUGAGUACUAGUGGCGCACGGGUGAGGAACGCGUGGAUAAUCUGCCUUAGAGUGGGGGAUAACUAGUCGAAAGAUUAGCUAAUACCGCAUAAGACCACAGGAGCUGCGGCUCAAGUGGUCAAAGGUUUUUCGCUCUAAGAUGAGACCGCGUAAGAUUAGCUAGUUGGUGAGGUAACGGCUCACCAAGGCGACGAUCUUUAACUGGUCUGAGAGGAUGAUCGGUCACACUGGAACUGAGACACGGUCCAGACUCCUACGGGAGGCAGCAGUAGGGAAUAUUGCACAAUGGAGGAAACUCUGAUGCAGCGACGCCGCGUGAGUGAUGAAGGCCUUCGGGUCGUAAAGCUCUGUCGCAGGGGAAUAACACAAUGAAUGUACCCUGUAAGAAAGGAUCGGCUAACUUCGUGCCAGCCGCCGCAGUAAUAC